GACAGAGGAUGCAAGCGUUAUCCGGAAUGAUUGGGCGUAAAGCGUCUGUAGGUGGCUUUUUAAGUCUGCCGUCAAAUCCCAGGGCUUAACCCUGGACAGGCGGUGGAAACUACCAAGCUGGAGUACGGUAGGGGCAGGGGGAAUUUCCGGUGGAGCGGUGAAAUGCGUAGAGAUGGAGGAAUACCGAUGGCGAAGGCAGCCCCCUGGGUCAAUACUGACGCUCAUGCACGAAAGCGUGGGGAGCAAACAGG
rnacentral:rRNA from 1 species